CAGUCGCCGCGGUAAUACGUAGGGUGCGAGCGUUAAUCGGAAUUACUGGGCGUAAAGCGUGCGUAGGCGGUUCGUUAAGUCUGUUGUGAAAGCCCCGGGCUCAACCUUGGAACUGCCUUUGAUACUGUUAGUCUUGAGUUCGAGAGAGGUGAGUGGAACUGCGAGUGUAGAGGUGAAAUUCGUAGAUAUUCGCAAGAACACCAGUGGCGAAGGCGGCUCACUGGCUCGAAACUGACGCUGAGGCACGAAAGCGUGGGGAGCAAACAGGAUUAGAUACCCCCGUAGUCCCUGUCUCUUAUAC
rnacentral:rRNA from 1 species